rnacentral:rRNA from 1 species
GCACAAGCGGUGGAGCAUGUGGUUUAAUUCGAUGCAACGCGAAGAACCUUACCUUGGUCUUGACAUCCACAGAACUUUCCAGAGAUGGAUUGGUGCCUUCGGGAACUGUGAGACAGGUGCUGCAUGGCUGUCGUCAGCUCGUGUUGUGAAAUGUUGGGUUAAGUCCCGCAACGAGCGCAACCCUUAUCCUUUGUUGCCAGCGGUCCGGCCGGGAACUCAAAGGAGACUGCCAGUGAUAAACUGGAGGAAGGUGGGGAUGACGUCAAGUCAUCAUGGCCCUUACGACCAGGGCUACACACGUGCUACAAUGGCGCAUACAAAGAGAAGCGACCUCGCGAGAGCAAGCGGACCUCAUAAAGUGCGUCGUAGUCCGGAUUGGAGUCUGCAACUCGACUCCAUGAAGUCGGAAUCGCUAGUAAUCGUGGAUCAGAAUGCCACGGUGAAUACGUUCCCGGGCCUU